rnacentral:rRNA from 1 species
UACGUAGGGUGCGAGCGUUGUCCGGAAUCAUUGGGCGUAAAGAGCGUGUAGGCGGCCCAGAUAAGUCCGCUGUGAAAUCUCGAGGCUCAACUUCGAGCUGUCGGUGGAAACUGUCUGGCUAGAGUCCGGAAGAGGAGAAUGGAAUUCCUGGUGUAGCGGUGAAAUGCGCAGAUAUCAGGAAGAACACCCGUGGCGAAGGCGGUUCUCUGGGACGGUACUGACGCUGAGACGCGAAAGCGUGGGGAGCGAACAGG